GAUGAACGCUGGCGGCGUGCCUAAUACAUGCAAGUCGAGCGAACAGACGAGGAGCUUGCUCCUCUGACGUUAGCGGCGGACGGGUGAGUAACACGUGGAUAACCUACCUAUAAGACUGGGAUAACUUCGGGAAACCGGAGCUAAUACCGGAUAAUAUAUUGAACCGCAUGGUUCAAUAGUGAAAGACGGUUUUGCUGUCACUUAUAGAUGGAUCCGCGCCGCAUUAUCUAGUUGGUAAGGUAACGGCUUACCAAGGCAACGAUGCGUAGCCGACCUGAGAGGGUGAUCGGCCGCACUGGAACUGAGACACGGUCCAGACUCCUACGGGAGGCAGCAGUAGGGAAUCUUCCGCAAUGGGCGAAAGCCUGACGGAGCAACGCCGCGUGAGUGAUGAAGGUCUUCGGAUCGUAAAACUCUGUUAUUAGGGAAGAACAAAUGUGUAAGUAACUAUGCACGUCUUGACGGUACCUAAUCAGAAAGCCACGGCUAACUACGUG
rnacentral:rRNA from 1 species